UUGAAACACAGAUCUCAUAAGAUCAUUGAAGUUAAGCAAUGUUGAGCCUGGUCAGUAGCUGGAUGGGUGGCUGCUUGGGAAUACCAGGUACUGUAA